AGCGAACGCUGGCGGCAGGCUUAACACAUGCAAGUCGAGCGGGCAUCCUUGUGGUGUCAGCGGCAGACGGGUGAGUAACGCGUGGGAACGUGCCCUUCGGUUCGGAAUAACUCAGGGAAACUUGAGCUAAUACCGGAUACGUGCGAGAGCAGAAAGGUUUAUCUGCCGAAGGAUCGGCCCGCGUCUGAUUAGCUAGUUGGUGAGGUUAUGGCUCACCAAGGCGACGAUCAGUAGCUGGUCUGAGAGGAUGAUCAGCCACACUGGGAUUGAGACACGGCCCAGACUCCUACGGGAGGCAGCAGUGGGGAAUAUUGGACAAUGGGGGCAACCCUGAUCCAGCCAUGCCGCGUGAGUGAUGACGGCCUUAGGGUUGUAAAGCUCUUUUCUCCGGGACGAUAAUGACGGUACCGGAGGAAUAAGCCCCGGCUAACUUCGUG
rnacentral:rRNA from 1 species